rnacentral:rRNA from 1 species
UACGUAGGGGGCAAGCGUUGUCCGGAUUUAUUGGGCGUAAAGAGCGUGUAGGCGGCCAUUCAGGUCAGCUGUGAAAACUCGAGGCUCAACCUCGAGACGUCGGUUGAAACCGUUUGGCUAGAGUCCGGAAGAGGAGAGUGGAAUUCCCGGUGUAGCGGUGAAAUGCGCAGAUAUCGGGAAGAACACCCGUGGCGAAGGCGGCUCACUGGCCCGGUACUGACGCUGAGGUGCGAAAGCGUGGGGAGCAAACAGG